rnacentral:rRNA from 1 species
AGAACGAACGCUGGCGGCAGGCCUCAAACAUGCAAGUCUAGGGGGUGUAGCAAUACAUCACCGGCGGACGGGUGCGUAACGCGUGGGAAUAUACCUAUUGGUUCGGAACAACUGAGGGAAACUUCAGCUAAUACCGAAUGUGCCCUAACGGGGAAAGAUUUAUCGCCAAUGGAUUAGCCCGCGUUCGAUUAGCUAGUUGGUGGGGUAACGGCCCACCAAGGCGACGAUCGAUAGCUGUUCUGAGAGGAAGAUCAGCCACACUGGGACUGAGACACGGCCCAGACUCCUACGGGAGGCAGCAGUUGGGAAUCUUGGACAAUGGGGGAAACCCUGGAUCCAGCCAUGCCGCGUGAGUGAUGAAGGCCUUCGGGUUGUAAACUCUUUCGCGCACGACGAUAAUGACGGUAGUGCGAGAGAGCUCCGGCUAACUUCGCGCCAGCAGCCGC